rnacentral:lncRNA from 1 species
GAGGCCCCUCCCAGUCCCUUGGGAGCGCCGUACUCACCGCAUGCAAGUGGAGGAUAGGAGACUAUUAGCUAAGCCCAUCAGCCCACGAUGGGUCUUCACAGCUACUUUGGGCUAGGAAAGGAUCUGAUGGAUCUGCUGGGAGGAUAUAGAGAAAGGAAGAUAAAUGGGGCAGCAGAGAGGGAGGGUCCUGGAGCCUGCCCACCUGUGAGCAGGGAGUUUGAGGAGGUGGGUGUGGGGUCCUGUAGGAGCAGCCAGAGGGUGAAGUGCAGGAUGAGGGGUGUUGGGCCACAUGGUAGCUGGGAGGGCAGGUGUGACAGUAGAUCCUCCCAGCCACACAGCCCCGUCCAAAUUUCUUCCUUCCUUCCUUCUGUUCUUUUCUCUUUUCUUUUCUUGUUUUCUUUUCUUUCUUUUCUUUCGACGGAGUUCCACUCUGUCGCCCAGGUUGGAGUGCAAUGAUGUGAUCUCAGCUCACUGCAACUGAGAAAAGGAGAUAAUGAUCCUUUUCUCAUAAGGUGUGAUAAGGACGGAAUGAUUUUUUUUUUUUUUUUUUUGAGACACAGUCUCACUCACUCUGUUGCAAUAAACACUGCCUCCCAGGUCCAAGUGAUGCUUCUGCCUCAGCCUCCUGAGUAGCUGGGAUUACAGGCACCCACCACCACGCCCGGCUAAUUUUUGUAUUUUUAGUAGAGACGGGGUUUCACCACGUUGGCCAGGCUGGUCUCGAACUCCUGACCUCAGGUGAUCCGCCCACCUCAGCCUCCCAAAGUGCUGGGAUUACAGGUGUGAGCCACUGCACCCGGCUGCCUUCCAGAUUUCUAAGCAGUUUCUUACCCACAAUCCCAUGUACUCCUCACCUCACCCCAGCCUGGGUGGCAUGGGAAGGUGUGGGUUAGACGAGUCUGCACAAGAUCACGAGCCAGAACUGGGACUUCAAAUUAGGUCACUUGGUCUGACCCCAAGUGCAGUACUCUUUCCACUGCCUCAUAGCUCUCAGUUCAGCCAGGAUGGACCUCGUGAGUCAGAUCUUGCUUUCCUGGAAGGACAUUUGGGAUCAUAGAGGAGAGAGAGCCAACAUUAGUGCAUACCAGACAAAUUUCAUGCCAUCCUUGCCGGGAGUGGUGGCUCACGUCUAAUCCCAGCACUUUGGGAGGCCAGCGUGGGUGGAUCACUUGAGGCCAGGAGUUGAAGACCAACCUGGCCAAAAUAGUGAAACCCUGUCUCUACUAAAAAUACAAAAAGUAGCUGGGCAUGGUGGUGCACACCUGCAAUCCCAGCUACUUGGGAGGCUGAGGCAGGAGAAUCUCUUGAACCUGGGAGGUGGAGGUUGCAGUGAGCUAAGAUGAUGCCACUGAACUCCAUCCUGGGCAACAGAGUGAGUGAGACUCUGUCUCAAAAAAAAAAAAAAAAAUUAAUUCCAUCCUUAUCACACUUUAUGAGAAAAGGAUCAUUAUCUCCUUUUCACAGUUGGAGAACCUGAAGCUCAGAGAGGUUCAGCAAUUCAGCCAAAGACACAGUGAGCGAUUAGAGGGCUACGAUGCGGACCCAGUUUGAUCAGGUCCCAGAGCGUAGAGUCUAACAGGCAGAUAGGAGAAUAGGUCAUUGGAAGGAUUCAUAAAUUAGGAUUUUUCCAGCUGGAUUUGGCAACUGCAGUUUACCUACAAGCUACUCACCUUGAUGGAGUUUAUACCUAGCAAAACAGGAGACAGACUGCCUGAGAGACCUGCAACUCACACAGAUUACUCAGGAGCAGGCAUGAGACACCCAGCCAAGGUCACAAGUAAGAGGACGGUGCCCAUUGCUUCUGUGGCCACAGGCCACUGAGUGGACUAGCCACACAGUGGUCACUAAGGGUUACACCUCAGGAGAUAGGGGGCCUCUGUCUGCUCCCUCUGAGGCCCAGGGAUGGACAGAGGUGCACGGCGGUGCCUCAGAGGGUGAGCAAGGAUUUUGUUAGCCUCUAUCUAGAUCCUGACUGUUUUAUGAAAUUUGAUUUGGCCUCUAGGGAAAAACUAGCUGUGACCCAACAAGGGCAAAAGCACAGAUGCAGUGGGGAAAAAAAAAAAAAAAA